GAUGAACGCUGGCGGCGUGCCUAAUACAUGCAAGUCGAGCGAACGGACGAGAAGCUUGCUUCUCUGAUGUUAGCGGCGGACGGGUGAGUAACACGUGGAUAACCUACCUAUAAGACUGGGAUAACUUCGGGAAACCGGAGCUAAUACCGGAUAAUAUUUUGAACCGCAUGGUUCAAAAGUGAAAGACGGUCUUGCUGUCACUUAUAGAUGGAUCCGCGCUGCAUUAGCUAGUUGGUAAGGUAACGGCUUACCAAGGCAACGAUGCAUAGCCGACCUGAGAGGGUUAUCGGCCACACUGGAACUGAGACACGGUCCAGACUCCUACGGGAGGCAGCAGUAGGGAAUCUUCCGCAAUGGGCGAAAGCCUGACGGAGCAACGCCGCGUGAGUGAUGAAGGUCUUCGGAUCGUAAAACUCUGUUAUUAGUGAAGAACAUAUGUGUAAGUAACUGUGCACAUCUUGACGGUACCUAAUCAGAAAGCCACGGCUAACUACGUG
rnacentral:rRNA from 1 species